AACUAUUUAUUGUUUAAUAUUUUAGGGUCAACUAAGUUAAUUACUUCUACAGGAGGACAAGAAGAUCCUAUCUUAGAGACUGAAAAUACUGUUUCAUCAACUUUAUCUGUGGAAGUAAAACGUAGGGAUGUUACUCCAGUGGAUGUUGAUGAAGCAGAAGUUGUGUUUACUGAGCUUGUUCCGGUUAAUCCUUUUACUGACUCAGUUGCGGAAUCAAUUGGUUCGUCAAAAGAAGAACAAAGGAUGUCCUUUUUAGCAGGUUGGUAGUUUAUAAAAGUAAUGUAAAAAAACCAUUAGAAAUUUUUAUGUUGUCUUAUUACAGAGGCAGUUGGAGUUAACAACAGAAAAGAAGGUGUAUUACUUGAAACAAGAACGAGGUCGAACCUUCUCUUUGGCAUUUCAGAUUCGGAAGAACCACUUGACGAUUCCGAUAAAGACAGGGAUUACAAUGUAACCGACAGCGAAGACAGUAGUGAAGACGAAUAUGUUCCGCUCAAGAAAAGAAAGUUGAUUUGCGAUAGAGGAAAAAACAAUUCAAUUGUAUCAAACCCAAAAAGUGCCGAAGAUGUUACCUCUAACAAAACAGCCGAAUGUGUACCCAAUGCAGUGGAGUUAAUCAAUAUAGAAGAUCAGGCAGUUUCCAAAAAAA
rnacentral:lncRNA from 1 species